UUAAAGCGGUUUGUUUAUUUAUUACUGUUUGUAUAAGUUUAAUACUUAAAUAAGCAGAAGGUUAUAUAGUAUAAUAUUAUGAUAUAAUAAGUGAACUACGCAGUAUUUAUUUUUAUACAAUGGAUGAAAGUUUGAUAUAGUUAGUGUAAUUUAAAAGUGGUUAAAUUGGUGCCAGCAUCUGCGGUUAUACCAAUACUUUGAAUUUAUAUUUAAAUAGUAUAAAAUAAAGUAAUGAUUAUUUAAAUGAGAUUAGGAUAAAUGAGUAUAGUAAUUGUAGGUAAAAUUUAAUUUUUAUAAUUAAUUAUAUUAUCCUAAUUCUAAAUUCUUUGAAAAUAAGAUUUGAGUAGACUAGGAUUAGAGACCCUAUUAUUCUUUAUUUUAAAAAUUUUAUUAUUUAAGUAGUAAGAGCUAAAUAAUAAUUAGUGAUAUUUAAUUUAGAUUGUGCUUGAAACUUAAAAGGCUUGGCGGUAUUAUAUAUCCUUCCAGGGGAGCUUGCUUAUUAAUUUGAUAUUCCUCAAUUUAUACUUACUUUUUCUUGAAUAAUUACAGUUUGUGUAUUGCUGUCGUCAGUUUAUUUUGUAAAAAUUUUGGAAAAAACUUUAUAAUGGAUGGAUUAUGAUGUCAAGUCAAAAUGCAGCUUAUGAAAAAGGUUUAAAAAGUGAGCUACAGUUUGUAAUAUUUAAUCUGAUUAGUUUAUGUAAUUAAAUUAUGAAGUUGGACUUGGUAGUAAUAAAAUAUUUAAAUAGUGUGUUUUGUGAAUUGGGUUUUAUAAUGCGUACAUA
rnacentral:rRNA from 1 species